rnacentral:tRNA from 1 species
GGGGCUAUAGCUCAGUUGAUAGAGCGCUUCCAUGGCAUGGAAGAGGUCCAGGGUUUGAGUCCCUGUAGCUCCACCA